UGGAUCCCGGGGGCCACGCCAAGCCUGGGACAGUUAAAGGCUGAGACAGGACACUGCCCACUCAGGAGAAACACAGCUCCACCCGGGGCCCUGCGACCUGCCAGCGCUCUGGUCUCCUCUGGAUGGAGACCAGAUCUGCCUCCUCGGAUGGAGCCCCAGCACCACGCCCCUGGGCCCCACGUGCAGAUAUUAAAGGCUUCCUUCCCGUCCCAGGCCCGCAGACAGUCUGGGGCACCGGCUCCUCGGGCCACGGGAGGCUCCAACAGGAGCGGGCAGGGUGCUCGGAGGGGCUGACUCAGCCUCCCGGUCACAACCCUGCCCUCUGAGGGAGGCAGGCUGCAGUUCCCGGGCUCCUCCUCCCGGAAGCUCACACAGACAAAGCAAAUCAGCCCAGGUCACAGUGAGGACAUCUGGAACUGACAUCCCUGGACACUCACAGGCAGGCAUGGAUUUCCACAUGCUUCCAAGACUGAGCGUGCUUGAAAAUACAAAUAGAACAUAUGCCUAUGAAUCAUGGACAGACAAAAGUAGCAAUGUUUGUAAGAAAAUUUGCUGAAACCCACUGUCUUGAGUCUAUUAAAGACUCUUGCCUCCAUCUCCUCUGAAUCUUGACCUUUAUUCAAAGAGGCAACUGCUUGUCUUAGGGCAAGUGUCCCAGGUGCAGGGUGACUCGUGUGAACAUCAGGAGAGCUGUUGCUGGGAGAAGGGCUCUCCGUUUUUUGACAAGGAUUUUUGACAAGGGAGAAGUGGCUCUCCGGUUUUUGACAAGGAUUUCAGACGCUACAAUUUGACACACUAGGCUUUGUCCACUGAUGUGUGGCUCCCGGGGUGGGACUUUGUCGACACAGCCAAGCCUGUGCUCUCACGGGCUGUAAAAGAUCUGCGAUCAAGAUCUGCAGAGACACAGCUAAGGAGAGAUGUUUGAACUCACUCGCCCAAGUCAACGCUACCGAGGGCCGGGGAUGGAAUUCAAACAAGCCUUUUCCGACUGCCAUGCCCGUGACUACAAUAGAGGCCCCAGGGGGAGCCUGCCUGCUGCGAAGGGGGAGAGGUCCGCAGUUCUCCAAGGCUGAAUGAUUCACGCCGACGAGCAUCUGUCAGUGCCAGAGAUGCCUGACGCGCCUUCUGAGCUCCUAGGAGCACAGGGGUGGGCUUCUACCCACACUGUCCUACCCAGGAUCGCCCUCGAGACACAGUUGUUACUGGAGAGAAGACCAGAGCCAGGGGCCAGCCGUGUCCCCAUUCACCUCUGACUUGCAUGGGAAAGCAUUCGGAGCAGCUGCAGAAACGUGAAAAAGGCGACAUCUCAGACGCUCACCCACAUCCUCUCCAAAGCGACAGUUCUUGAGCCUGAAGACUUCAGUUGCAAACACUUUAAAAAUGAGAUGAAAGCAGGAAGGUGUCACCGGGAUCACCGAGCCAUGUGCAAAACUGACUGGUGACUGGAGUAUUUGAAAGAGCGUUCUUAAUGGUCUUAUGACUCAAUAGAUUUCUGUGAAAAGACUCCCAUAAUGUCAGUCCUUCAUGUUGUUCUUUCGUUUCCUUCUGGUCCAUGCACUUGGAGGUCUGCAUGCAGACACACAGGAUCUACCCUGAGACUUAGGUCUUUCUGUCAGAAAGUGAUCACAGUGCUAGUCUGAAUCAUAAACAUGGCUAUUAGUAAACUAAUGAGUGCAAGUUGUUCUCAGAAUCAAAUAUUGAAAUAACUUCUUAAAGUUUCUAGCAUUAUUCCAAGGCAUCACAUAGCCAUCUGAUGCAAAGGAUGCUGACGCAGCCUGUGGGCAGUGAGGAUGCCAGAGCAGGGCCUCCAGGCCUGGGCAGCCCUUCUCCAGCAGGCUGGCCCUUCAAGAUUUACUCCAAGGUAUUUGCUGACGUGGAAAUGGAGCCUCUGCUACGUCUCGCUGUGCGAUGUGACCCUGAGCAAACAGCAUUCCUAGCUGGGCAUUACACUGCUUUUCUGCUUGUCUUCAAAACAGACCCCUUGGAAGAUGUGUUCAUGGUCUGUGUCAGCUUUGCCACCGUUCAGUUCUCUCCAUCAUGUUCACCCCACUUUUUGUCUCCGUGAUUCCUCGAAGCUUCCCUUAUUAAAUUAAUAGGACCCCCUUUGGGCAAGUUCGGUCCCCACUUCUCAGCAGCUCUCAUGGGGCCAGCUCUCAGUCUGUCUAGAAACCCCUUUUUCUUUUGGCACUGCUCUCUGGGGAGUCCUGUCUCACUGGGGUGCUCCCCGUCCCCUCCUGAGGCUGGGGUGUCCUGGCCGGGGUGCCCUGUCUCACUGGGGGUGCUCCUUGUACAGCCGUGGCCUUUCUGUGGCCUACGUGGAGCUUCUGGAUGAAGGCUGGUCACUGGGAGCCACAGGCUGAGGGUGAGUCUGCUGACACUGAUAGUUUGGUUGAAUCCUGAUUUUUGAUUCUAUCUAAAAAUCACACAAUUGUUUUUCUUUAGACGACUCCCAUAUAAAAAUCAUCACCAUGUAAUAAGCUUAAGAAGCUUCACAACGGAAAAUAAUAGUCAGCAUAACUUAAUAGCAUGUGGAAAGCGAUAUUUGGAAAACCACAAUUAUGAUCUUAUCUCAGAUUUGUUCUGGAAGACAUUAAUAGUAAUUUCACUGAAAAACACUGAGGAAUUUGCAUUCAGAGCAACUCAUCUGAAUGAACAUAAAUUCAAUCAUUGCUCUAGGCCUAGGAAAUAAACCAUGUCAAGAGAAAGUACACCAAAGGUGUGCUCGUGUAUACAGUCUUAACUUGGUCAGGAUGAUGAAAACUUUAAAAACACUGGGUGGAGCAGUGUUGAUCAUAUGCCCAAAAACAUUAGCUAUGGAUGAGGUUCUCAAGGGUAGAUUAAUGGUGAUUUCUUGUAUGAGUUCUGGUCUCCUUCUCAGCUGCUUCUAUUAAAAACAACCAAGAAAACAUGUCCUGGUGCAUCCUUCUAAAAUGUUUACUGGGGCAAUUAUUAUAGACUGUGAGCAUUCAUACAAGCAAAACUCUUACUACACAAAAA